UGUAAUGUGGUCGGUAUUAAAGAGACUUAAUGAAUAAAGAAGACACAUAAGAAAACAAACAAGGUACAUAAGUUUAACGUGUAGAAACAUUGAGCUUCUCCAUGGUCGGCUAGUCUACCCCAGUCAUUAAGACUUUUGAUAACUAUCUUGUGAUAAUAACAACAACACUAAUAAUGACAAUAGACGAGGUAGCACUAUUAUAAUAAGAAUAAGAAAAAAUGAUGGUAAUGAAAAUAAAAAUAUAAAUAAUAAUAAAAGAAAAUGACCCCGUACAUGAGCUUUCAGUGAUACUUAAGGUUUCUUUCUUGGCAAUGAACUAGAUCGAAGAGCGCAAGAUACAAUCUUGAAUUAUCAACACCUGGGAAUGCAACUUCAACGCCGCCUUUUUUCUUGUACGCCGAUACAAUAGUGUAAGUGCUGUGAAUCCAGCAAUAAGUGUUGAGAACAUCUUCGGGUCACCGUGAGCGUUCGUCCUUUCUCUUUCGCCGGUGGGUUCAAGGUUAACAAUAAUGCCAUACAAACUCAGAAACAGAGACCUAAGCUACAAACCAGACCCUCCGGAUUCCAGAUGCACCAGACCUUCCAUUCCCAGACUUGAAACAGCUUAAAAGAAGAAAAAACAUUUUUCUUAGCUGCGCCAAGAGAAUAAGAAGCACGAGUAGGAGGGGCCCCAUGAAAACCCGUGACUUGUGACUUAACAAGUCACGUACCCAGUUGCAUCAGAAAGAUCGUUUAGUUUUUUCUUUGUGGGUCUUUCUUGACUUUUCCCUUCUAUUUUCGAAAUGACAUUUGGAAAUUUAUUUGACACAUAUGGGCGCCUCUUACACUCCAGGUCUGGUCAGCAAACUGUUAUUUUAACGCCGCAGUGUAUUAUUUUAUACCUACUAUAUAUUAUACCUGUAUUAUAGUAAUUAUUACUCACAUCUCACGUCGAUUGUUGACAGUAAAUAAACAAUGGAUGAAUUUA